rnacentral:rRNA from 1 species
CAUUUCUAAGGUUGACCUCGGAUCAGGUAGGAAAGGCGCUGAAA